rnacentral:rRNA from 1 species
AUUGAACGCUGGCGGCAUGCCUUACACAUGCAAGUCGAACGGUAACAGGUCUUCGGACGCUGACGAGUGGCGAACGGGUGAGUAAUACAUCGGAACGUGCCCAGUCGUGGGGGAUAACUACUCGAAAGAGUAGCUAAUACCGCAUACGAUCUGAGGAUGAAAGCGGGGGACCUUCGGGCCUCGCGCGAUUGGAGCGGCCGAUGGCAGAUUAGGUAGUUGGUGGGAUAAAAGCUUACCAAGCCGACGAUCUGUAGCUGGUCUGAGAGGACGACCGGCCACACUGGGCCUGAGACACGGCCCAGACUCAUACGGGAUGCAGCAGUGGGGAAUUUUGGACAAUGGGCGAAAGCCUGAUCCAGCAAUGCCGCGUGCAGGAUGAAGGCCUUCGGGUUGUAAACUGCUUUUGUACGGAACGAAAAAGCUCCUUCUAAUACAGGGGGCCCAUGACGGUACCGUAAGAAUAAGCACCGGCUAACUACGUGCCAGCCGCCGCCGUAA